rnacentral:rRNA from 1 species
UUGAUCCUGGCUCAGGACGAACGCUGGCGGCGUGCCUAAGACAUGCAAGUCGAGCGGAGCUAGGGAGUAGCGAUACUGACUAGCUUAGCGGCGGACGGGUGAGUAACACGCGGAUAACCUGCCUCUAAGACGGGGAUAACACUGCGAAAGUGGUGCUAAUACCGGAUAUGCUCACGGUUCUGCAUGGGACUGGGAGGAAAGGCGCUGAGAGGUGCCGCUUAGAGAUGGGUCCGCGGCCCAUUAGCUAGUUGGUGAGGUAACGGCCCACCAAGGCGACGAUGGGUAGCCGGCCUGAGAGGGCGACCGGCCACACUGGAACUGAGAUACGGUCCAGACUCCUACGGGAGGCAGCAGUCGGGAAUUUUGCGCAAUGGGGGAAACCCUGACGCAGCAACGCCGCGUGAGCGAUGAAGGCCUUCGGGUUGUAAAGCUCUGUCAUUGGGGACGAAAGCCUAUCAGUUAACUGCUGGUAGGGUGACGGUACCCGAGGAGGAACCCCGGCUAACUACGUGCCAGCAGCCGCGGUAAUACGUAGGGGGCGAGCGUUGUCCGGAGUUACUGGGCGUAAAGGGCGCGUAGGCGGCCUGUUAAGUCGUGAGUUAAAUACCGCAGCUCAACUGCGGGGGGUCUUGCGAAACUGGCGGGCUUGAGUGCAGGAGAGGGAAGCGGAAUCCCGGUGUAGCGGUGAAAUGCGUAGAUAUCGGGAGGAACACCAGUGGCGAAGGCGGCUUUCUGGACUGCAACUGACGCUGAGGCGCGAAAGCUAGGGGAGCGAACGGGAUUAGAUACCCCGGUAGUCCUAGCCGUAAACGAUGGGUACUAGGUGUGGGAGGUAUCGACCCCUUCCGUGCCGGAGUUAACGCAAUAAGUACCCCGCCUGGGGAGUACGGCCGCAAGGUUGAAACUCAAAGGAAUUGACGGGGGCCCGCACAAGCAGCGGAGCAUGUGGUUUAAUUCGACGCAACGCGCAGAACCUUACCAGGGCUUGACAUCCCCUGAAGGCCGUAGAGAUACGGAGGUGCAGGCUUUGCCUGCACAGGGAGACAGGUGGUGCAUGGUUGUCGUCAGCUCGUGUCGUGAGAUGUUGGGUUAAGUCCCGCAACGAGCGCAACCCUCGUACUGUGUUGCCAGCACGUAAAGGUGGGCACUCACAGUAGACUGCCGUGGACAACACGGAGGAAGGUGGGGAUGACGUCAAAUCAUCAUGCCCCUUAUGUCCUGGGCCACACACGUGCUACAAUGGCCGGAACAGACGGCUGCGAACCCGUGAGGGGGAGCUAAUCCGAGAAAUCCGGUCCCAGUUCAGAUUGCAGGCUGCAACUCGCCUGCAUGAAGUCGGAGUUGCUAGUAAUCGCGGAUCAGCACGCCGCGGUGAAUGCGUUCCCGGGCCUUGUACACACCGCCCGUCACACCACGAGAGCUGACAACACCCGAAGCCGGUGGGCUAACCCGCAAGGGAGGCAGCCGUCCAAGGUGGGGUUGGUGAUUGG